rnacentral:rRNA from 1 species
AUUGAACGCUGGCGGCAGGCCUAACACAUGCAAGUCGAGCGCGAAAGUCUUCGGAUGAGUAGAGCGGCGGACGGGUGCGUAACGCGUAGGAAUCUACCUAGUAGUGGGGGACAACUCGGGGAAACUCGAGCUAAUACCGCAUACGCCCUAAGGGGGAAAGUGGGGGACCGUAAGGCCUCACGCUAUUAGAUGAGCCUGCGUAGGAUUAGCUAGUUGGUAGGGUAAAGGCCUACCAAGGCGACGAUCCUUAGCUGGUCUGAGAGGAUGAUCAGCCACGCUGGAACUGGGACACGGUCCAGACUCCUACGGGCGGCAGAAGUGGGGAAUCUUGCACAAUGGGAGAAAGCCUGAUGCAGCCAUGCCGCGUGUGUGAAGAAGGCCUUCGGGUUGUAAAGCACUUUAAGUGGGGAGAAAAGGGUAGUCAUUAACACUGGCUAUCUGUGAUGUUACCCACAGAAUAAGCACCGGCAAACUUCGUGCCAGCAGCCGCCGUAA